GGCACAGCUUGCAGCCGCUCUAAAGUUGUCAUUCUUAAGGAGCUGCUCCUUAAAGGAGCCGAUUCCUUCUAUAUUUCGAAAAGGCAAGCCAGAUGUUUGCUGGCUGUCAAACUGUGCUAGGGAUUGUACUUUGGGUGGAAAGGUGAUGGUUUUUUAUGAAGUCUGUGUUUGUGCUGUAGGACUGUGGUUUGUUUGUUUGGGUGAGCGAGGGUUUCUGCUCAGGGAGGACUCGAGCAGACUGCGAGAGUUCACAGGGCUAAUUGGAGCCGGCUGCGAGGAAGACGGAUCAGGUGAAUCGCAUUAGAAGUCCAGAUGCAGAUGCAUAGUUCAUUGUAGACAAUCGUCAAGACAUCUCAAGGAUGGGGGUUGCCAUCUAGGCUGCCUUCCAGCAGCAGAACCCUGGAGAGUAUGCUGACAGACUGAAGAUGGGAUUUUCAUGAUUAAGCAAUUUAUUAUGACAUAAGCUUUCAUGGGCUAAAGUCCACUUCAUCAGAAUUCAUCAUCAAAAUGAAAUCCUGAAUUGCAGGUGGGCUUGGGGAGAAAUUUGACUUUGCAUUUUAAUGAGAAACAACUUAAUUAGCAUUUCUCAAACCAAUACACAAAUCAAAACAUUUCUCUUUGCACUUCUCUGAUUGUUGCAAUGCAGUUCUCUAAAUAUAUAAUGUGUGCAAGAUGUAUAUACUGUAUCAAGGGGAAGGUUUGCAUAAAAGACAUACCGUAUU